rnacentral:rRNA from 1 species
UACGUAGGGGGCUAGCGUUGUCCGGAAUCAUUGGGCGUAAAGAGCGUGUAGGCGGCCCGGUAAGUCCGCUGUGAAAGUCGGGGGCUCAACCCUCGAAUGCCGGUGGAUACUGUCGGGCUAGAGUGCGGAAGAGGCGAGUGGAAUUCCUGGUGUAGCGGUGAAAUGCGCAGAUAUCAGGAGGAACACCAAUAGCGAAGGCAGCUCGCUGGGACGGUACUGACGCUGAGGCGCGAAAGCGUGGGGAGCGAACAGG